UACGUAGGGUGCAAGCGUUAAUCGGAAUUACUGGGCGUAAAGCGUGCGCAGGCGGUUAUGUAAGACAGAUGUGAAAUCCCCGGGCUUAACCUGGGAACUGCGUUUGAAACUACAAGGCUAGAGUGUGACAGAGGGGGGUGGAAUUCCACGUGUAGCAGUGAAAUGCGUAGAGAUGUGGAGGAACACCGAUGGCGAAGGCAGCCCCCUGGGUCAAGAUUGACGCUCAUGCACGAAAGCGUGGGGAGCAAACAGG
rnacentral:rRNA from 1 species